GCAAUAUUGGGAACAGCUUGUCACGAGAAUUAAAUAUUAUUGAAUCUGGUUGACCAGGGCCUGAUUCUGCACUGUGUGCCUUGUCUACUUCUGUGAGACUGUCUGUGGAAUAGGCACAUGAAACUCCAUGCAGAUAAAGCAAAGAAUAGGCUCUUCAUUCUGAACUGCUUAUAAAGUAAGAAGAUACCUUUUUUAUGCUGGUUUAUGCUGAUAUAAAUCAGGAAGUCAGUAGCAUUCCACUGAUAUAAAUUAGAGCAAAAUUAGACCUGAUACCUGAUUUGGGACAUGGAGAAACCUUCCCACAAAGGAGCCUUGGAAAGGGUCAUUGGAGUAACCUCAACCUGCCUCUCUGCAGCUGGUGGGAAGGAUUAUGACCAGUCCCAGCUCCCCAGUGAGCCUCAUUCUACCAGAGCCUUGUACCUCAAGUGGCAGUGCUUACUUCAGCAAAGUAAGCAGGUUCUCAUUUAACCCUGACUCUUGGCACGAGGCUUCAAAAGAACCUUCCCAGCCUGCCAUCCCCAAUUCAUGAAACUUCUAGUAUGCAGUAGCUGUCAACCUUGACAUAUUUCUUGCAGAGAAGAAUCAGGGGAACAUACUUGAU